rnacentral:sRNA from 1 species
CUGUGACCUUGGGCAGGUUACUGAUCCUCCCCAGGCAUCAGGUUCUCCUGUGCAGUGAAUUCAUCUGCUCAGCUAACCAGUAUGUUAGCUGAGUUCCAGCUGAGCUCAGUAUGUUCUGAGCACCUUCUCUGGCCUGGCUCUGAACUGAGCCCUGGGGACAUAAGGAGAAGGCAGCAGCCUUGGCUCCUGCUCCAAGGGGCUCCUGGGCUUGGCUGUCCAGAGAGGCAGAAACCAAGCACGUCAUCACAAGUGCUUUGAUGGGGGAAGUGCAGGCAGCUGGGGGAAUGUCUAGCAAGGGCAGCCAGCAUGAGGCUGGCCAGGAUGCUCGGAGAGCACAGUCCCUGCAUCCACUGCUCAUCUCCAGCCUCUGGAGUCCCUGUGGCAGAACUCAAAUGGAAGGAGGAGCAGCUGCGCCCAGGGGAGCAGGGUGUCACCUCCGUUGGAUAGAGCCGGCCAGGUCGCAGCGCGGACACACUCACAGGUCGCUGUGGCCCCAGCCUCGCCUGACAGAAUGAGCGGCUCGGACGGGGGACUGGAGGAGGAGCCAGAGCUCAGCAUCACCCUCACGCUGCGGAUGCUGAUGCACGGGAAGGAAGUGGGCAGCAUCAUCGGGAAGAAGGGCGAGACUGUAAAGCGAAUCCGGGAGCAGGUGAGGAUGGAGUUUGGGGGAGGAGCCCAGGGCACCUGAUGUGGAGGGGAGAUCCCUGCCCCACUUUCUCCCUGAACCACUCCUUCUGGGCUGACCAGUGAGUGCCCCAGAGGGUGGCAGUUUUGAGCCUUGCCUCAGGCCUGGUGAGUGGGGCAGGCAGACAAGUUCCGGCAAGGGAGCAGGGAAGAUGCCCCGCUGCCCGGCGCUCAUUCUAUAUCUGCAGAGCAGUGCCCGGAUCACCAUCUCCGAGGGCUCCUGCCCUGAACGCAUCACCACCAUCACCGGGUCUACAGCGGCUGUCUUCCAUGCAGUCUCCAUGAUUGCUUUCAAACUGGACGAGGACCUUUGUGCUGCUCCUGCAAAUGGUGGAAAUGUCUCCAGGCCUCCAGUGACCCUGCGCCUUGUCAUCCCUGCCAGUCAGUGUGGCUCACUGAUUGGGAAGGCUGGCACCAAGAUCAAGGAGAUCCGAGAGACUACGGGUGCCCAGGUACAGGUGGCAGGGGACCUGCUCCCCAACUCCACAGAGCGAGCUGUUACGGUAUCUGGGGUGCCUGAUGCCAUCAUCCUGUGUGUGCGCCAGAUCUGCGCUGUUAUCCUGGAGUCUCCACCCAAAGGAGCCACUAUCCCCUACCAUCCGAGCCUCUCCCUAGGUACUGUUCUUCUCUCUGCCAACCAGGGCUUCUCUGUCCAGGGUCAGUAUGGGGCUGUGACCCCAGCUGAGGUGAGUGACCCAUAGCCCAAGGCACCCCUUCCUGAACCAUGCCUCCUCUGACCUCUGACCCCUCUUUGGCACAGGUCACCAAGCUCCAGCAGCUCUCAAGCCAUGCGGUCCCCUUUGCCACACCCAGCGUGGUGCCAGGACUGGAUCCCGGCACACAGACCAGCUCACAGGAGUUCUUGGUUCCCAACGAUUUGAUUGGCUGUGUGAUCGGGCGCCAGGGCAGCAAGAUCAGCGAGAUCCGGCAGAUGUCAGGGGCACAUAUCAAGAUCGGGAACCAAGCAGAGGGCGCUGGGGAGCGGCAUGUCACCAUCACUGGCUCUCCGGUCUCCAUCGCCCUGGCCCAGUACCUCAUCACUGCCUGUCUAGAGACGGCCAAGUCUACCUCUGGGGGGACGCCCAGCUCGGCCCCCGCAGACCUGCCUGCCCCCUUCUCGCCACCCCUGACGGCCCUGCCCACAGCUCCCCCUGGCCUGCUGGGCACACCCUAUGCCAUCUCCCUCUCCAACUUCAUCGGCCUCAAGCCCAUGCCCUUCUUGGCUCUACCACCUGCUUCCCCAGGGCCGCCGCCGGGCUUGGCGGCCUACACUGCCAAGAUGGCAGCAGCUAAUGGGAGCAAGAAGGCUGAGCGGCAGAAAUUCUCCCCCUACUGAGGCCAGCUGAGGUACAGGCAGGGGCAGGCAGGACCACCAGCAGGGGGCUGCCUCUGCACCCUACCCGCCCAAGGAGACUCCACCCUGGGGUCCCAAACGCCGCUAACGCCCAGACGCAUGGAUGCACCCCCUACCCUGCCUCCAUCUAUGGGAGUUCUUUCUCUCAGAGUGGGGGCAGUUUCUGGCCCAGGGGUCUGAGCUGCGGCAGCCCCAGGGCAGGGGGCCCUACCUCCUCAGCUCUGUGCUUGGAUACAGGGAGCAGCCAGGAGACUCCCUAGUGCCCCCACCAUGGCGGGUGUCACUCACGCACUCCCCAUCCCUUAGGGCUUCCUGGCCUACUGCAUCCUUGUGGGAGUCAGGGAGGAGGGCCCAUUGGGUAGCUGGGGCCAGGCUUCUCUCCCCACCACCUGCAGAUUUCUUGCUGCUUCCACUGAUACCCUUUUGACUGGAAUGAACUGGCUGGGCUUGUCAGGGGGCACCCCAAAGAGGGGGCACUGCCAGGUAGCUGGGGGAGUGGCAUGGGGCAGGGGCCCAGUUCUCAGCAGCAGACACUCUGUACAGUUUUUUCAAUCCCUGUUUUUGAAUAAAUAUUCUCAGCGAC